rnacentral:snoRNA from 1 species
UUUGAUGAUGAUUUAAAUUUUAUCACGACGGUCUACAUAGUUUAUACUUUGAUGACAAACGCCUUUGACAAGGCACGAAUCCUGAUA